UGUGUGGUGGCAGAUUAAUGCCCUGGAAUUAAGCCCCAAUUAUGAGACCCCAGUUCUCCCACAUAU
rnacentral:tRNA from 1 species